CAAUGCCAUCGAAAUGUCAUCGAAAAGAAGCCAGCUUACUUUGCUUAAUAGUAUUUAUUUGUGAAGCAAUUUUGUCAGCUGGUAGUUUUUGUAGAGGCCGUUUGGAAUGUCAGAUGGCUCUGAAGGGUAAAAUGAUAAUGAGAUCUGGUGUUUUGCUGUGUACCAAAAAGCACCAGUUUACCUGCGUUGAUCAAGUUUGUGUUUGCGGAAGACCAGAAAAGUGCAAUCAGUAAAUGAUGAACUAAUUAGUUACGCGUAUGACGUAUUGGUUGCUACUCGUAGUUAUUCGUAGGAAAAUAAAAAGCAAUACAUGGCGAUAGAAAAAUGGAGU
ensembl:ncRNA lncRNA:CR44821 long non-coding RNA:CR44821